rnacentral:rRNA from 1 species
CCUACGGGACGCAGCAGUGAGGAAUAUUGGUCAAUGGGAGAGAUCCUGAACCAGCCAAGCCGCGUGAGGGAAGACGGCCCUAUGGGUUGUAAACCUCUUUUGUCGGAGAACAAAACCCGGGACGAGUUCCGGACUGCGUGUAUCCGAAGAAAAAGCAUCGGCUAACUCCGUGCCAGCAGCCGCGGUAAUACGGAGGAUGCGAGCGUCAUCCGGAUUUAUUGGGUUUAAAGGGUGCGUAGGCGGGACGGUAAGUCAGCGGUAAAAAUGCGGAGCUCAACUCCGUCGAGCCGUUGAAACUGUCGUUC